rnacentral:misc_RNA from 1 species
AGCAGCCGCGGUAAUUCCAGCUCCAAUAGCGUAUAUUAAAGUUGUUGCAGUUAAAAGCUCGUAGUUGAAUUUCGGGGUUAGUAGGUUGGUCAUGCCUCUGGUAUGUACUGGUCUCACUGAUUCCUCCUUCCUGAUGAGCCGUAAUGCCAUUAAUUUGGUGUUGCGGGGAAUUUGGACUGUUACUUUGAAAAAUUGGAGUGCUUAAAGCAAGCUAACGCUUGAAUACAUUAGCAUGGAAUAAUGAAAUAGGACGUUCGAUCCUAUUUUGUUGGUUUCUAGGAUUGACGUAAUGAUUAAUAGGGAUAGUUGGGGGCAUUAGUAUUCAAUUGUCAGAGGUGAAAUUCUUGGAUUUAUUGAAGACUAACUACUGCGAAAGCAUUUGCCAAGGAUGUUUUCAUUAAUCAAGAACGAAAGUUAGGGGAUCGAAGACGAUCAGAUACCGUCGUAGUCUUAACCAUAAACUAUGCCGACUAGGGAUC